rnacentral:lncRNA from 10 species
UGCCAUCUUCCAUACAGACCAACACAGGAGCCUCUGGAUGAAGGGCCGGUGCAACAUUCAGAGUUCAGUAUUGAUCGUGUUUGUGAUUUAAACACUCAGAGACCAAGGAAUUGACCACUUUGAUGUGGAUUGAUGGUUUCCUGAUGCUUUAUGACAGGUGUGGCCCAGGGACCUCUCCCCCAAGCCUGGGAGAAUCAUCCUCUGCUGUUAAACAGCUCAAUCAUUUCUCAUCCCUGGCAUCCUCACUGGUCCAUUGGCUCCUCCCUUCCUCCCCUCUUACCUACAAGUGCUGACCCUUCCUGGGCUGCUGCCAAACAUGACCCUGGAUACUGUGAGUCUCAGGCUGCUGGGCUACCAGGAUCAGAAUCAAGAAGGGAAAAGGAUCAAAAUUUAUAGAGUAUCUUUUAGAGUACUAGCAUGGUCAUUUCAUUACCAACUUUGCAAAAUAGGUAUCAUUGAUCCCAUUUUAUAGACGAAUAAGUUGAGUCUGAUGGAUAACUUGCUAUGUGAGGGACCCAAGCCUGCUAAUUCUACACUUUUGCACACUCUCACUUUAUUGCCUACAGAAGAGCUCAGAAGGAGAGGGAGGGAGAGGGGGACGGGAAGUAGAACUGUCCCUGGGGUAGAAAUAAAUUGGAGUGCUGGACAUGUGCAUUAGGAGCCUACUAGGCUGUAUUGCAGAUGACUCAGUAUGCAAUGGGCAGGAAGGAGGGGUGAAGAGAGGAGUAGGCAGUUUUCUCCAAAGCUGCUUUACAACAACAUCCCUGAGUGUGAACAUAAGUGAGUCUACAUGUCUAUCUCUGCCUCUUCUACACAUACCUUUGCAGGUUGCUGUGUGGAGUUUUUUGGUGCCUUCUUUUCUAAUUUAACUUGAUUUCCUUGAGGAUGGCAGAGCUGGACAUGUUCAGGAAACCUCAGAAAAAGAGCUGUAUGUCACUAAGUCAGGAAGAGGGCCCAGAGGUCAGGGUUUCUCAUCUGGGGCCAUCAAUACCGGCCUCCUUCUAGCUCUGUCAGACACUUGGCCCCUUCUGGGUACUCUGGCAGAGUUUGGUACCAUUCUCUCACACUGAAGAGAGACCCUCAUAGGUAGAGGCAUUGCAAGCUGCAGGCUGUGGCUCACAUUGCAAUGUAGCUGUAUCAGCCAUGAUUUUUAGUUACAGGCAUCAGCCAACUCUGGCUGACUGAAGCCGAAGAGAGUUUGAUGCAAAGAACACUGGGUGGCUGGAGAAUCAGUAGGAAUGCUGACAGUAAGGCUGGAGAAUAAGCAGCCUGGAGCAGCACCGAGAAUCACAUGGUGGAAGGAGUCUGGAGAAACUUCUACUGCUUCAGCCAUUGAAUGUUGGGCACUAUCAUUGGCAUCACAGUCACCUCUGUGCACAAACUUGAACCUGCAGUAGGGAGAGAGAGAACUCCACCCUUCCUGUGUCUAGCUCCAGAGUCAAAACCCAGGGUGGCACAUGGUGGAUGGAUCCUGUGUACAGCCUGUGCCUGGCUGCAAAGGCUGCUGGGAAAGCCAGUUGCUGCAUUUUUGGCAUCUACAGUGGGAAGCAGCCACUGAAGACAAUGAAGACUCAUGAAGUGGGAACUUCUCAAUGAAAAAGGAGUUCAAAUAUUGGGUGGCCAAAUAAAAUGAUAAAUAUUCACUAUCAUUGCCUUAGUUGAGAAUCGAGAAGCUGGGGGCAGUGUGAGGGUACUGAUGGCAACAUUCUCUAACAGGUAUUGAGUGAUUAUUCUCUGGGCUAACUAUUCUAAAUGCAGUAUCUCAUUUAAUCCUUCCGACAAAUCUCCCAGGCAAUUACUAAUAUUGUACCUAUUUUCCAAAGGAGACAACUGGAUUGUAGACAUGACUGUGGCACAUACCUAGUAGGUGUCUGAGCUGAGGUUCUGGCGUAGGCAGUCUGUCUUCUGAGACUGUGCUCACAUUUUCAUGAUUGAGGGCUGGUGAGGAACUCUAGGGGUAUUUCUUUAAGUUAAAGCAUUAAAACCAGCUGUCCCUAGUGCUCAUCAUUCCAAUUAUGCCACAUUAACUCCAGUCUUUUAAAAAUCCCGUCUCAAGGUACUUCUAGGAGUCUCCAAGAUGGCUUGUGUGAACACGUGUCAGACCAGGUUAUUGGAGGCCACCGUGCUGUCACCUUCCUCUGCCAAGUCCAGGCCCACUGUGGGGACCGCUGUCCAGGCUUAGAAACUCCGGUAUGAACACUGGUGGGCGGGCACUCUCCCGUAGCUGCCCUUGGCCACAAUGGAGAUCUCCCCUGGCCCUCUCCCAGACUGAGUCACCUGUACUACACAGUUUGCCCUGUUUGACACAACUGCCAGCCAAACCUGAGAUCCUCCUGGGUCACUGGCCAUGCCCAGGAGAGGCCUCGAGGAGCCAAUCUUUGCAGCCCAGCCACAGAUGCUCUUGGCCAUCAAGGAGCUUUACUGAGCCCUGUCAGGGGACAGGAGGAUUCACUUCCCUCAGCUCCCCUCUGUGAGACACCUAUAGUAAGGCUACAGAUUUCAAAGGGACGCCAAAUUUGGUUGUUUCCACCAGCGAAACCCAUUUUUGCCCUAGGGCCCACAUAGAUCAUCAGCAUAGUGAUGUCAGCAGCACCCUUCAGGCCCAGGGGCAGAAAACUGCUGGUUGUGACAUCCUUCCUCUUCUCCUCCCCUUUAAAGACCCUGCCUUCCUUUUUCAUAAUUGGCUCAAAUCACUCUCCUCCCACUCUGAUCUCACAUUCAUUAAUUCAUCUGGUCAACAUCAAAUAUUCAUUAUGCACCAAUUAUCUGUAAAACGGGGAUAGGAAUAAUGAUAUUUCAUUGUCUUGGUUUCGGUCUUCGUGCAAGCAGACUUGAGACAAGGGCUUGGUUGCAGGCUUUUUAUUCGGGAGGUGAUCCCAGGAAGCAGGAGUGAGGGAGCAGGAAGAUUGAGCAGGGAAGGAGGAAAACAGUAACCUAAGGGUGUGCUAUUGGUUACUGCUGCUGGCAGUGGGAGCCCAAGUGCAUUGGCACAUCUGAGAAGCACACAGAAGCAUCCCAGGAUUGUCCUCCUGAAGGAAGGGAGGCAAGAGCAUUUAUCCAUAGCUCCUAGCCCCCUUGGUAGAUAGUUGCCUUGGGACAGGGAGUGAGAGGUUGGGGGUUACCUGCCCUGACCUUUAGAGGGCUGAGCUGAUUUCUGCAGCUUUAGCAAGUCUUUAAGGCAGAGAGGAGCAAGCCAUGGGCACAUGCCUAAGUGGCACUGUCCAAGGAAGAAGCUCCUCCUUGCAGUUGGACUGAAGUCAAGAGUGGGAUGAGGGGCCGUGAUACAGCACGGAAAACAUACACUACACUUUCUCAUGAAGUAGUUACCAUUAACUGAGUUAAUUUAUGUAAAACACCUAGAACAAUACCUGCCCCCAAUAAGGCUAUAUGUGUGUGUUUGCUGCUAUUAUUUGUGUGACUAUUACAUGUGCCUGGUGCUUCUCCAGGCUCUGUAGGUAACACUCUCAUGAGACUUACUUUCAGCUCACAAAACAUGCCUUGUUUAUGUGUCAAAGCUCUGAUUCUUGAUACUGUCCAAGUUCUUUUGCCAGGAGAUUCUCAGCCCCCAUGUUUGGGGAUGGCCAGGGGACAUGGCCCCACUUGACUGCCUGCCUUGCCAGUAUCUCUGAUCCAUUUUGGAGGCCUGCCCUGCCAUGCUCUGCUUCCCAGGAUCCUGAACAAGGAUUUGAGAACUAAGGUUUGAAUUCUGCAUAUGAAACAGUCAAACUCAAGUUGUCCAUCUGCUGGGAAAAGAAAAUAGCUUCAGAGCAAAGUCACUUGCCUUUUAAUAAUUGAUGGAUAAAAGAUUGCAGCAUGUGCAAAAACACACUUUCCAGAUCUGCCACUAAGAACGGUUCGGGCAGAAGAAACUGCUCUUUCCAUUGCCCCAGAGGCCAGGCCUGCCCUCAGCUAAUCUGGUGACCUAAUCCUUUCACAUGGGGGAGGACCAGAGCAUUUGCAUACAAGCAAUGAAUGCAUCUUUCCACCAGAGGCUUCCAGAGGCAAGUCCAAUCUAGUUAGUGCUUAUCUGUCCAAGCUGGCUGACCUUCUCCCAGUGCACAGUCCAGUCCCAAGUCCUCCCACCCCUGCCUUGUUCCCAGAACGAGUCUUGACUAUUCUAGCCUCAUACCUCGUCCCUAAGUUGCAACACUUGAUAUGGCUCCUUGAGGACUGCCUUGGCCAUCUCCUUGUUGCCGCUCCCACUGACUGCUUGGGUUUCAGCAGUUCACGGCUUCACGAGGCAACCCCUCCCUCUUGGUUCUAUGAUAACAUAACCGGUCACAGGCCUUUUGCCCAGCCCAGGCACUGAGGGACUGGGACCUGCCCUGGCCCCAUCUUGGCUUUCACAAAUGGGAGCUGGUGAGGUCUCACCCAGGUGAAACCCGGAAUUCACUUUCCUUUCAAAUGUUAAUAUGUUGCUGUGAAAACAUGCCUUUAUCAGUCCAGAAUCCUGUGUCUGUAAUCUCAAUAUCUAAAAGCUCUGAAAGCCAAAAGUUGGUUAUAAUCUGCAUGGUAGCAAAAUCUAACAGGGUUAAUUUCAUUUUCCAGAAUUAUCUGACCUGCACUAAGUGGAGGCUAUCUAUUGCCUUUAUUGAUCUCAUUUGGUGUGAAUACGCAUACAUGCUGCUGGAGAAAUAUUAAUGUCAUUGAUUACGAGGUGUCCCAGAGCUCACUGGGGUGUUGAUGUAUGAAGUGGUAUGUGCACCAAACUGCCUUUCUAAAAUACAUUCUGAAUUCUGAAACAUACCUGGCCCCAAGAUUUUGGAUGAGGAAUUUAGGCCUGUAUUAAAAUUAACCCAGGGAGGGUUAGGGCCUGGGAGAAGUGACCAUGAGUGGCCAUUGUUAUCUAAAGCUAAUGCAGGGAGCCAGGGGCAGCAGUGGCCUGAGUUAAAUAUCACUGGAUCCUUUAGUAUAAUUACAGAGUCAGGACUUAAGGAGAGUCAUUGACAUCCCUUUCAUCAAAAAGAAAAGAAAGAAUUGCUCCCUGUAAUCCAUACCCAUUAAUUCAGCAUCUCCCCUAGAUAGCUGAAACCCCUUCAGAAAGACUGGAAUAUUUUCUAGAUAAUAAAUCUGGGUCUUUAUCUUUCCCUUUUCUUCUUUCCCCUCUUCCCUUUGCCCCAUCCCUGAACUUCCCCCUCUUCUUGUGUUUUUGUCCAUAAAAGAGCAGCUUCUGUCAUUCAUGUGACAAUGAGCCUCCUUAGGUAAUUAAAGGGGAGUCUGCAGCCUGAACUACAAGUGAGAGGUCAUCUUUUUCAGCUUAUAGUCCUACCUCUACUGGGAGUGUGAUUCUGGGGACAAGAAGGAAGAAACGGUGCCAAAGCGCAUGGAUGGCCAAUUGUGCGCCUGGCUCUUCCAUGUGGAGUAGGCAGUGGGGCUGCUUGGAGCACACUUAGUGUUUGCCCUCCAGAUUUUUCCAGUCUCCUCAUAGAUGACCCAUGCCUGAUCUAGAAUAGGGAGGCAGGGUUUUAGAUUUAACUAGAAGUCUUCAUUUGUAUUCUUCCCAGAAGCAGACCCUGAGAUGAGGGUUCUGGGAAAUAAGGAGAACAGCAGUUGGGAAGAGGAGAACAAAGCCAGGGGAUGACUAGAGCUUAAUCCUUUGGGGAAACUCUGGGUAACAGCACAGAACACACCUCAGAGUUAUCUUCCUAAGGUGCCAGAUGAGGGAGUUGAGGUAUUUAUACACCCUCUCCUGAGACUCAUGGGUUGAGGGCUGCUGGAGGCUGCGAUGACAAUGCCCUGACACAUGGGCCUGCUUCCUGGGGGCAAAAGCCUCAGGCACAGACAUACAUACACUGGGGUUUGAAGUUGAUUGUUACAUACUGUAAUAGUAACAUCCAAGCAAUACUAGCAGGGCACUGACAGCAUCUAAUACAGUUUUUUUUUUUUUCACUAAAAUGCAAAGGAAUGUUUGCAUUUCUUUAUCAGAAGAAGGAAAAGAAUGCCAGUCUUCCCAUUUUGAUGGUUGUGCCCACAAGAACCAGCAGAGCCUGGAAGGACAAUAUGCUUGGUAGUGGGAUCAUUUGGGGCUAGUGAGGGGGCAGGGUCUCGGGAAAAAGGGCACGGUGCCUGGUGAAGGGAGUCAUUCUGGGGGUGCUGCAGUGAUGAUGCUAGUGGCAGCUGUGCCCUUGGCAAUGGGAGUGGGGGUCUGCUACUGCAGUGAACCCUGAAAGCAGUAGGGAGGUGCUUCUUUAUAUCCCUUAGAGACUUCAGCAAAAAAUAUCCUUGAAUAAGGCUAGGGUAGGCAAGGGAAAAAUGGCAGGCACAGCAGUGGACUCAGCUUGAUUGUGAAGCCCUUUCUUAGGCUCUGUAUGGGGCUGGAAAUACCACAUGUGUCCUGUUUGGUGGGGAGGGGUCCUGUUGGGUGGAUAAGUGAUGCUCAGAGCAUUUCUAGGGCAGGAGUUGUCAAACUUUUUCCUGCUAAAUAUUAUAGGCUUUAGGGGUACUACUGUCUCUGUUGUAACUACUCAGCUUCCCUAUUGUAUAUCAAGAAAUGGUCACAGACAAUAUGUAAGGAAUGCGUAUGGCUGUGUUCCAUCACAACUUUAUUUAUGGAUGCUGAAAUCAGAAUUUUAUAUAAUUUUCAUGUGUCACAAAUUUUUUUUUCUGAUUUUGUCCAUUCAUUAAAAAAUGCAAAACCUAUUUUUACCUUGUGAGCCACACUGAAACAGGCUGUAGGCUGAAUUGGGCCCGUGAACUGUAUUUGCAGACCCUUGUUCUAGGGCUUCUCUCUGACUUGGGCUCCAGGGUUAAGGGCAGAUUUCCAACCGAUUCUUGACAGCGUAGGAGGGGCAAACCUCCUCCUCACUCCAGUGAGAUAAGUGACUCAUCCAAUAAUGGCAAAGACUCAAAAGCAAGGAGAUAGAACCUCAUGUAUGCGUGGACAUUUAACUGGCUCCGGUGAAGGCUUGAAGCCCUAUUUGCUAAGCUUCUGCUCAUUUGCUGCUCCAGAAAGUGACAGCCUGCAUGACCAGUCCACAGCCUGUUACUUUGGGGAUUUUACAGGGUUCAUAGAGUAAAGAGGAGACUUUGGGUAAAUACAGAUCAAAUAUUUGGGUGACACUGGUAGAGUGAAAAGGUAGACUUUUAAGCCACAUCGCCUUGCACGCAGCUUCCAGCUCUGCCAUUUACAGCCUAGUAAUCUGAAUCAAGACACUUAAUUACUCUGGGUCUCAGUUUCCUCAUCCAUAAAAUGAGGAGCAAUAAUAACCCCCCUUUUAGGCUUAUUAUGAGGAUAAAGUAAGACAAUACGUGAAAUGACCUUGGAUCAAGCUCAGCUUGGCAUCUCAUCUUUACUUAAUGGAUGGUUUUAAAAUUAUUUUUAAUGCCAACUUCACAAAGUUGUGAUAGAAAUUAAAUGAGAUAAAUGUGUAAAGGGCUCAGGGACAUAGUAUGUGUUAAGAAAAUUAUUGCUACUAUUAAAAAUAUGAUGGAGAAAAAAAGGUUAGGUAUUUCUCCAUCUUCUCUUUGGGAUGAUGGCUCUCAAGAGGUGGGAAGAGGAGGACAAUGGCACCUGCAUAAUUUUGAUUGCAGGAUAUUUGUAUUCUUUCCCUUUCUGAAGUUCCUGAAUAGCAAAUGUUUUUGACAGCAAUUGGGUCUGGAUGCCACGUUUUGAAGCCCAACUAACAAACAAGAGAUUAUGAGACUGCAGUUAUCUUUUACCAGCUGCGUGGAAAAAUCCUGUCAUUUGGCAUCACACAACUAUGAAUUCUUUUAUCUCUUUCUCCCUUCUUAUGUGCUCCUGGAGCAUAUGUAAGCAAGCUCUGACAUUGAUAACACAUUCUUAUUAACCAUUAUCUGAAAGAUGGGAUGCCAACUUAGGAGUUUUGCAUUGCAUAUCAGAUGGAAAUUUCCAUUGGGGAAUGGAAUGUUAUCCACUCCUGGCCAAUGACAUCCCAAGGCUGAAGUUACCUUCUACAUACACCAUAGUCUGAGGUCAUGAAUUGGCUAGAUUUCUGCCCAAAUCUUUGCCUACUCCUUCAGAAGGAAAUGGAAUAUGAGGCAACUAUGGGCACUUAGAGGGAACAGAAAGUUGAUUUUCUGUCAUAUAAACGUUAGCUUCUUAGGCAGUGUAGAUGGAGCAGGUGACUGGAGCCAGAGGGAUGGGGUUGUGCUUGUAGAAAGGCCAAAUGAACAGGCUGAGUGGAGACCCUGUGGGGGCCCCUGAGAUGCACCCUUUAAUAUUCAUCCCACUCCAUGUGGUCAGUCUAAGCACAUCAUGUAAUUCCCAUUUUCCUUGACAGAAAUUGGUUAAGUAAAGGGCAUGUUAUCCACUCCUGGCCAAUGAGAUGAGGAAAAGCCUACAGUACGUGUGUGUGUGUUGGUUGGGGGGCAGUCUGGGGAAAGUUUAUCUUCUGUGAAGAAGGAACUCAGAGAGAGAGUGCCUUUUCGCCCUGUGGACUUUGCCAUGAGCGCCUGGUGCUAAGGUGUCAUCCUGCUAUCAUCCCUCUGAGAGACCAGCAUCAAGUAUUCCUGAAAGGCAAGAGGGAUGGUUCCUGGAUCCCUAAGGACAGCAUUGCCUGGCAGCUGAUCUCUACUUGCCUUCAAAUUAUAAUAUCUCUGUGCUUGCUCAUUGUUGAAGUCAGUUUGAGUUGGAACUCUGUUCCUUGUAACCAGAAGGAUCCUAUCUGGGGGCCACAUUUUUGACAUUGGAAUAUCACCAAGGUGAGAAAUAAGGGAAGGGUGUGCACUAGGCAUUUAGAAGAGGGGAGCGGCUGGGCACUUUUAAUGGGUUAGUGUGAAACAUACCUUGUACUCUAUCUGGAGCAUCCUAUAUUAAUUAACUAACUUAUUAAUGAGCCUGUAUAAGGCACCUACUACAUGGUCAGCAUAGGGACAGGUCUUUCUGAGAAUAAAAGAGUCAUAUAAAACAUCAUUCUAGUUGUCAAGCAUCAUAAAAUUUAGUUGGUGGAGACAAGACUAGAAAUAAAACAAAAUAAGUGGUUUAGAGAAGGGCGUGAUGAGUGAGUGCUAGAGUAGGUAAAAGCUUCGUGGGAGAUGGAGAAAGCUAAGCUGGGCCUUAAUCAGCAGAAAGAAUAAAGGUGAGGACAUAGAGACGUUAAGUCACAUGCUCCAACACAGCCAGAAAGUGGCAGAGCUGGGGUUCAAACCCAGUAUGUCUGACUCCUUCCAACCCUGGGCAUGUAACUACUAUGCUGGAGCAUACUUAUGCUCCCAAUGUGUAUUUGUAAGCCUGGAAUGCUCAUAUAUUAAUUUAUAAUGAGAAAUAGAACUGGAAAACAUUAUGAAUUCAAAAUCUGUGAAGCCAAGUUAUAUUCAGAAGGUUCCCAAGGCAGCUUGAAGCUGAUUAACAGACAGGAUAUCCCUGACACCAGGAUGGAGGCAUGUGUCUUGAAGGGCUAGUCCUUCUCUUCCUGGCUAGGUACUGGUAAGAGAAUGGCCAGUUUUGGAGUCUUGGGGCUCCCAUUUAAAUGCUCCAGGCUGUUCCUAAAGUCCUUCUUCAGUCAUGGUGUAAGUCAACUGGUCAGGCCUCUAGGUGUUCAUUAUGUUCACAUUUAAUUCAGUGGUGUACUAGCAAGUGUUUAACAAAUGGCUCUCUGGGGCACUGGGGGAAGCCCUAAUUUGUAACAUUCACCAAGUCAAGUUCCAUGGUGUAAAUACUCCCUCCAAGACUAUUUCAAGCUACCAGCAGGAAGAGAUGCACACAAUCAAUGGCUCUUGAGUGCUGGUACCGGCAGGCUCCAGCACACCACUGUGCUCACAUUGCAUCCUGCCUCUCAGAGCCUUCCCAGAUGCCUUGAUGGGAAUUAUGGAAUGUUCUCAGACUUUUGUAGAACAUUUACCAAAUUAGUCACAGCCAUGUGUGUGAACUUUUUCAGUUUAAUUAUUGGAAAAUGGCCUCACUUCCAAAUUCUUGGAGAACACUGUUUUUACCUUCAUGUACCGUCAACUAAUAGAGCUGUAAGGUGGCCAAAGAAACCAAAGAUGGAUUUCCUUUCUGUAUUGCCUAAAGUCCAGAGUUCUGUUAAAAAUUACUGUCAAGAGUGAGGCUUGGGGUCUGUGCUGCACUGAGUAAUACCAUGGGUAGCAAUAGAUAAAUUGGCACAGAAGAAUCUUCUACAGCACCACCGCCAUUCACCCCCUGCCUCACUUUGCUGUCUUACCCAACAUUACAUGACAGAAAAAAGAAAUUGUGUUGCCUAGUAACAGCUCUGAGCAAGGGGAGACCAGUCAAUACAAUUCUGAAUUAAGGCAACAUCCACAAAAAAAUCCAUCUUGAGGAUUUAUACGAAAACCAAAGUGUAGUUAUAGUCUUACAAGCUGGUGGAGAAGUCCCAUUAGCUUUGGGUAUUGGAUUAUUUAGAAUAAUAUAUCUGAGAUAUAGAUUUCUUUUUCUGGGAAGAAUAAUCUACUCUGAGGCCAUGAAAAUCAAUAGGCCACUUUGAAGACUGACUUCAGCUGUUAUUGGUAAUGUUUUGGUUGUGUUUGUGAAUCAACAAUCAAGCAAAAAUAAGGCCAUUUAGUAGCUCACACUAAAGAGCACUACUUGUCAAUUUUGCAACGAAGCCUCUCCAUCCAUUGAAUGAAACAGCAUCUCCCAAGGGCUGCUGUGAGCCUAUGGAGACCCUGAAAGCUGACACCAGCACAAAGAAUUAAGGAUAAGUCUUCCAGGGUGGCCAGUCAUCCCAGCAUAUUGAGACUGAGGAGUUUCCCAGGAUGCUGGACUUUUAAUGCUAAAACUAGGAAACUCCUUGGCAAACUGGGACAGUUGGUCGCCCUGGAUCAGUGGUUCUCAACUGCAGAUGAUUUUGCCCCUCAGGUAGGGUUGCCAGAUAAAACAGAAGAUACUCUGUUAAGUUUGAUUUUCAGAUAGACAAUGAAUAAUUUUUCAGUAUAAGUAUGUCCCAACUACUACAAUGGGACACAUUUAGAGUUAAAAAGAAUUAUUCUUUGCUUGUCUAAAAUUCGAAUUUAACUAGGCUUUUAACAUUUUUUAAAAAAUUUUUUUUGUAAAACUGACAGUCUUACCCCCAGGAGAUAGUUGGUAAUGAUUGGAAGCCUCUUCGGUUUUCACAACCACAACUUCAUCAGGGAUGCUACUAGCAUCUAGUGAGUAGAGGCCAGGCAUGCUGCUAAACUUCCUAUAAGGCACCAAUGCAGACAACAGCUGCCUAAAACAAAGAAUUAUCUGGCCUGAAAUGUCAGUGGUGCAGAGGUUGGGAAAUCCUGCCGUAGACCUAAACAAGCUGGUGCCACGGAGCUCCAUCUUCCUUGAGAAAACACUAAAGGAUGGACGUGGGCUUCCCUGCUUCAUGCACACAGAUGGAAAAAUGUCACAUACAUUCCUGACCUUUAACACUUUCAGUCUGAUGCGUCAAACAGCCAUUGGGAGCUUAAGAAGUGUCUAGCAAAAUGGGACAAUUCCCCUUGCCGGACUCCCCCUUCCACACUUGGAAGGGUGAGGCAGUGUGUGUCAUCAAACAAUAGAGCAGAUAAAAGCUGAAUCAGGGUGGUCUCCAGGACACCCCCAUCUCCCCAGACUUCUAUGGUGACAUUUCUUGCACUCCUCAAGUUUGUUCAUGGCUUUGAAAACACAGUUUCAGAAUGUCUUCAUUGUUUCAUACGGUACUGGCCGCGCCUGGAGUUUUCCUGAAGGAAACUGUAGCAGCAGGAAUUUUGUGCAAUACUAUAAUAAGGGGGCUUUAUCCUUCCAAAAAUACAUCCUUUCUCCUUGUUGCCAGCUCUCCCACAGCCCUGUGAAAAAUGUAGCUCAGAAGUUACUGAGGCGUUUUUCUGUUUUUCCUUUCUCACUUUAGUUCAUAUCAAGCAACAGAAAGCAAUUCUAUUAUUCACACUUAGGCGUGCUAGCUUGAAUGAAUGAACAAAUCAAAUAUCAAUCCUUUUCUCAUUUCCCUAGUGUGUAAGAACUGAAAUGUAGAAAGUGGCAUCUGCUUAAAAGGAAUUGGUGAAUUUGACUUCUCUAGGUACCUUAUCCAAGUGGAAUGAGUGUUUAAUGGGCACAGAGUUUCAGUUGGGAAGAUCGAAACGUUCUGGUAGAUGGAUGUUGGUGAUGGUUGCACAACUAUGUGAUUAUACUUAAUGUCAUGGAACUGUACACUUAAAAAUGGUUAAAAUAGUAGAUUUUAUGUUAUGUAUAUUUAAUCACAGUUUAAAGAAAGGAAUUGGUGAUGCAUGUCUAUGCAUGUAAGUUUUGAUAUAUGCUUGCUGAUUGAUUAUUUAUCUAAGGUCUGUUUACAUAUUUUCCCCCAGUAAACUUGGUACUUGCCUCAUUGUCCUGUAUCCUUAUCCUUAAAUUAAUUGGACAAUGCCUCUUUCUUCUUCUCCCUCUUCUUAACUCCAGCAGUCACAUGAAGAUAGAAAUAUAUUUUGUCUUUGGAAGUUACUCUUUUUUAAUUUUUUAAUUUUUGUGGGUACAUACAUAGUAGGUGUAUAUAUCUAUGGGGUACAUAAAAUGCUUUGAAAUAGGUAUGCAAUGCAUAAUAAUUACAUCAUGGAAAAUGGGGUAUCCAUCCCCUCAAAUAUUUAUGUUUCAUGUUAUAAUCCAAUUAUACUCUGGAGUAUACGCUGAGUACUCCAAAUGUACUCAAUAGUACAAUUAAAUUACUACUGACUAUAAUCACCCUGUUGUACUACAAAAUACUAGGUCUUAUGCAUUAUUUCUAACUAAUGUUUUUGUACUCAUUUACCAUUCCCCCUCCCCUUCACAGUCCCCCAUUACCCUUCUCAGCCUGUGGUCACCAUCCUUCUACUCUCUAUGUCCAUGAGUUUGAUUGUUUUGAUUUUUAUUAACAAAUCCUGCAAAUAAGUUAGAAUAUGCAGUGUUUGUCUUUCUGUGCCUG